GAUCCCUUCCUUUAAGCACAUUUUGGGCUGUUUUUUUUCUGGUUUAUAUUUUAUCUAUUUCAGGUCUUAUAUGCAACUGAUUAGCAUCUUUAUUUGCUUUUAAUAUUGUGCUUGAUUCUGAAACACCACCACCACCCCUGAAAAUAUUUUUUUCCCCAGUGCCAGGUGUGUCACCAAGUGUCCCAAAACAUCUCACUCUCUGCACCCCACUCACUGCAUUGCUGCCCGAGCAGGAAGGAGUCACUUGAGACCAGAACUGAAGUUUUCAUUGCACCUGAUGCUGGAGACUGAUCAUGGAAAGGCAGGGCUCUCUGUCUGGCUGCUUCCUGGUGACAGUCCUGAAGGAAGCCACCUUCCCUUCCCUCAGUCCUGAAGGAAGUCAGGCUGGAAGCCUCUCUCACCAGUUCACAGGAAGGUAGUGCUGACUUCUGGAAACACAACGAAAUAGGGAAGAUGCACUCCAGGCAACGAUCCUCAUCCUUCAGCAUGUUGUCAAGGUGCUCGCUGCCAGUCCUCAGCUCCAUUUCCAGA